rnacentral:rRNA from 1 species
GACGAACGCUGGCGGCGUGCUUAACACAUGCAAGUCGAACGGAAAGGCCCUGCUUGCAGGGUACUCGAGUGGCGAACGGGUGAGUAACACGUGGGUGAUCUGCCCUGCACUUCGGGAUAAGCCUGGGAAACUGGGUCUAAUACCGGAUAGGAGCCAUUUUUAGUGUGAUGGUUGGAAAGUUUUUUCGGUGUAGGAUGAGCUCGCGGCCUAUCAGCUUGUUGGUGGGGUAAUGGCCUACCAAGGCGGCGACGGGUAGCCGGCCUGGGAGGGUGGACGGCCACAUUGGGACUGAGAUACGGGCCAGACUCCUACGGGAGGCAGCAGGGGGGAAUAAUGCAAAAUGGGGGAAAGCCUGAUGCAGCGACGCCGCGUGGGGGAUGACGGCCUUCGGGUUGUAAACUCCUUUCGCUAGGGACGAAGCUUUUUGUGACGGUACCUAGAUAAGAAGCACCGGCUAACUACGUG